rnacentral:rRNA from 1 species
CAGCCGCCGCGGUAAUACGUAGGGUGCAAGCGUUAAUCGGAAUUACCGGGCGUAAAGCGUGCGCAGGCGGUUAUAUAAGUCAGAUGUGAAAUCCCCGGGCUCAACCUGGGAACUGCAUUUGAGACGUCAAGACUAGAGUGUGAGAGAGGGUUGUGGAAUUCCCAGUGUAGAGGUGAAAUUCGUAGAUAUUGGGAAGAACACCGGUGGCGAAGGCGGCAACCUGGCUCAUUACUGACGCUCAUGCACGAAAGCGUGGGGAGCAAACAGGAUUAGAGACCCCCGUAGUCCCUGUCUCUUAUAC